AACGAACGCUGGCGGCAGGCCUAACACAUGCAAGUCGAACGAUGCCUUCGGGCAUAGUGGCGCACGGGUGAGUAACACGUGGGAACAUACCUUUCGGUGGGGGAUAACUUCGGGAAACUGAAGCUAAUACCGCAUACGCCCCUUGGGGGAAAGAUUCAUCGCCGAAAGAUUGGCCCGCGUCCGAUUAGCUAGUUGGUGAGGUAAUGGCUCACCAAGGCUCCGAUCGGUAGCUGGUCUGAGAGGAUGACCAGCCACACUGGGACUGAGACACGGCUCAGACUCCUACGGGAGGCAGCAGUGGGGAAUAUUGGACAAUGGGCGCAAGCCUGAUCCAGCCAUGCCGCGUGAGUGAUGAAGGCCUUAGGGUUGUAAAGCUCUUUCACCCACGACGAUGAUGACGGUAGUGGGAGAAGAAGCCCCGGCUAACUCUGUGCCAGCAGCCGCGGUAA
rnacentral:rRNA from 1 species